rnacentral:ncRNA from 1 species
GCCUCUGGAGAAUCCCGCGCAACGCGCCAUACGCAGCGGACGCGGGUGCCGAAGGGGCAAGGCGCGCCGCAGCACAAAGCCGCAGCGUCGCCGAAACUCUCAGGCAAAAGGACAGAGCCG